GACAGAGGGUGCAAACGUUGUUCGGAAUUAUUGGGCGUAAAGCGCACGUAGGCGGCUUUGUAAGUCGGAUGUGAAAUCCCUCGGCUUAACCAAGGAAGUGCAUCCGAAACUACAGAGCUUGAGUACUUAAGAGGAUCGCGGAAUUCCUAGUGUAGAGGUGAAAUUCGUAGAUAUUAGGAAGAACACCGGUGGCGAAGGCGGCAUCUGGCUCGGUACUGACGCUCAGGUUCGAAAGCGUGGGGAGCAAACAGG
rnacentral:rRNA from 1 species